rnacentral:rRNA from 1 species
AAUUAUAGACCUGUAUGAAAGGCAAAAUGAGGGUCUGACUGUCUCUUAUAAUAAAUCAAUGAAACUGAUCUUCUAGUAAAAAAGCUAGAAUAUACCCAUAAGACCAGAAGACCCUGUGAAGCUUAAACUAAACUAUUAAAACACAUAAUAACUAAUUUCGGUUGGGGCGACCUUGGAAAAAAAAAGAACUUCCAAACACUGAAUCUUACUUCAUCAACACAGGCCUACAAGCCAACAAACGACCCAGCAAAGCUGAAAAUUGAACAAAGUUACUCCAGGGAUAACAGCGCAAUCUUCCUCAAGAGCCCAUAUCAAAAGGAAGGUUUACGACCUCGAUGUUUUAUCAUGACAUCCUAACGGUGCAGCCGCUGUCAAGGGUUCGUUUGUUCAACGAUUAAAGUCCUACGUGAUCUGAGUCCAAAUCGAACA